UUUUUUUAAUAUCAAUUUUAGAAUGAUAAGUAAAAAAAAUCAUAAUUGUUUGCUCAUUAGAGAAGCAUAUCCUGAUAUUAAAGUGCAAAAAUUUGCCAAAUGUUUUCAAUCUGCAAUAUAUAUGGAACUAUAUGCCUAAAGUGUUAAAAAGUCUUUAUCUGUAGUGGACAUCCUGGGAAUAAAGACUGAGUUUGAAGAUUCAUAAUUUUAUUAUGAUAAAAUAAAUGAUAUAACAAGGUUUUUUUCCAGCUCAACUGAUAAUGUUUUGGAUGAAAUAAUGUCAAAAUGUGUUAUACCAUUUUUGAAGAAAGCUGGAACUUAUAGAAAUAGAUCAUUUUGAAUAAACUAUAUUGAGUAGUGUAAUUAUAGAUACUUUUUAAAUUUUUAUAUUGGUUCUUUAAUAUACUGUGUGAUACUUUCCAUUACUCAUUUCUUAUUAUUAUAAUUCACAUUUUGGUGCAUUUUUUUAUAUGCUAGUGAAAUGCAUGAAAGAUUUCUAUGGUAUUUUGCUUUUUUAGGAACAUUAGUGUCACAUACAGCAAAUAUCGAUUUGGUCAAUAAGUUGAAAGGUGAUUUUUUGAUGAGAAUAAUAUAAUAAAUAGCUUAAUAGUAUAUAAAAAAAACUACUUUAUUACGUUUUUGUAUGCUUAAUUUGUAAAUAAACACAA